rnacentral:misc_RNA from 1 species
AUAGGAACCUACAAAUUUCUUCAAAAUUCUUUAAAUUGACAACAAAUUCACAAAACCCACACAAGACCCAAUGGUUUUAGAGCAAAACUAACUCCAAAGGAAUUGUGAAUGAUCUAAAGAAGCACCUGAAAAUCAAAAUUGGUGAUGAAGAGUCAAAACCACAUGAAAAUGGGUAGAGAAACAUUGUUUGAAGAGGAAGCUUUGUGUCUUUGGACCGAAAGUAGGAGUGCCAGUUAGGAACGGUGCUAGAUGGUUGGCCACGAUGAACGACAACGUGGCAAGUGGCUCGAUGGCACUUGGUCACUAGUGAAGGAACAGUAGCGGCGCUGGGUCGCGCCAAGGAGGAACAUGCAUUGGUGAAGGUCGACCAAAAAGAAAGGGAAGAAAGGAGAGAGAGAGAGAGAGA